AUUGAACGCUGGCGGCAUGCCUUACACAUGCAAGUCGAAUGGUAACGCGGGGCAACCUGGCGACGAGUGGCGAACGGGUGAGUAAUAUAUCGGAACGUGCCCAGUAGUGGGGGAUAGCCCGGCGAAAGCCGGAUUAAUACCGCAUGAGACCUGAGGGUGAAAGCGGGGGAUCGCAAGACCUCGCGCUAUUGGAGCGGCCGAUAUCAGAUUAGGAGUUGGUGGGGUAAAGGCCUACCAAGCCGACGAUCUGUAGCUGGUCUGAGAGGACGACCAGCCACACUGGGACUGAGACACGGCCCAGAACUCCUACGGGAGGCAGCAGUGGGGAAUUUUGGACAAUAGGGCGCAAGCCUGAUCCAGCCAUUCCGCGUGCAGGAUGAA
rnacentral:rRNA from 1 species